ACACUGUCAGAUGAACACUGUCACGGCUUUAAAAUAACACAUUGAGUGUAUAAAUCCAUUGAGGUUUACGGUUUCUAGGUGUUAAUGUACGUGGAAGUGGUCCGGAAUACCCGUGAUCCGGAAUACCCUUACCCGCUGUAUCUCUAUUUAUUAUUUC